rnacentral:snRNA from 1 species
AUACUUACUGGCAGGGGAGAUACCAUGAUCACGAUGGUGGUUUUUCCAGGGCGAGGCUUACCCAUUGAACUUCAGAUGUGCUGACCCCUGCAAUUUCCCCAAAUGAGGGAAACUUGACUGCAUAAUUUGUGAUAGCAGGGGGAAAAAAAAAGUUGAAGUGUUUCAGAACUCACUUU